rnacentral:misc_RNA from 1 species
GAAAUGCGAUAAGUAAUGUGAAUUGCAGAAUUCCGUGAAUCAUCGAAUCUUUGAACGCAUAUUGCGCCCUCUGGUAUUCCGGGGGGCAUGCCUGUCCGAGCGUUAUUACUACCCUCAAGCACGGCUUGUUUGUUGAGCCUUGUUCUUUUAUGAACAGGCUUGAAAUGCAGCGGCGAAUGCCGGGCAUGGUGUCCGAGUGUAUGGAGCUUUGUCACACGCUCUGGUGGCCCAACUGGCAUUCUGUCAACGUUAAUUGACUUUAUAUCUGGAUUAACCUCGGAUCAGGCAGGAAAACCCGCUGAACUUAA